CUCCUUUGACGUUAGCGGCGGACGGGUGAGUAACACGUGGGUAACCUACCUAUAAGACUGGGAUAACUUCGGGAAACCGGAGCUAAUACCGGAUAACAUUUGGAACCGCAUGGUUCUAAAGUGAAAGAUGGUUUUGCUAUCACUUAUAGAUGGACCCGCGCCGUAUUAGCUAGUUGGUAAGGUAACGGCUUACCAAGGCGACGAUACGUAGCCGACCUGAGAGGGUGAUCGGCCACACUGGAACUGAGACACGGUCCAGACUCCUACGGGAGGCAGCAGUAGGGAAUCUUCCGCAAUGGGCGAAAGCCUGACGGAGCAACGCCGCGUGAGUGAUGAAGGGUUUCGGCUCGUAAAACUCUGUUAUUAGGGAAGAACAAAUGUGUAAGUAACUGUGCACGUCUUGACGGUACCUAAUCAGAAAGCCACGGCUAACUACGUGCCAGCAGCCGCGGUAAUACGUAGGUGGCAAGCGUUAUCCGGAAUUAUUGGGCGUAAAGCGCGCGUAGGCGGUUUCUUAAGUCUGAUGUGAAAGCCCACGGCUCAACCGUGGAGGGUCAUUGGAAACUGGGAAACUUGAGUGCAGAAGAGGAAAGUGGAAUUCCAUGUGUAGCGGUGAAAUGCGCAGAGAUAUGGAGGAACACCAGUGGCGAAGGCGACUUUCUGGUCUGUAACUGACGCUGAUGUGCGAAAGCGUGGGGAUCAAACAGGAUUAGAUACCCUGGUAGUCCACGCCGUAAACGAUGAGUGCUAAGUGUUAGGGGGUUUCCGCCCCUUAGUGCUGCAGCUAACGCAUUAAGCACUCCGCCUGGGGAGUACGACCGCAAGGUUGAAACUCAAAGGAAUUGACGGGGACCCGCACAAGCGGUGGAGCAUGUGGUUUAAUUCGAAGCAACGCGAAGAACCUUACCAAAUCUUGACAUCCUUUGAAAACUCUAGAGAUAGAGCUUUCCCCUUCGGGGGACAAAGUGACAGGUGGUGCAUGGUUGUCGUCAGCUCGUGUCGUGAGAUGUUGGGUUAAGUCCCGCAACGAGCGCAACCCUUAAGCUUAGUUGCCAUCAUUAAGUUGGGCACUCUAGGUUGACUGCCGGUGACAAACCGGAGGAAGGUGGGGAUGACGUCAAAUCAUCAUGCCCCUUAUGAUUUGGGCUACACACGUGCUACAAUGGACAAUACAAAGGGCAGCUAAACCGCGAGGUCAUGCAAAUCCCAUAAAGUUGUUCUCAGUUCGGAUUGUAGUCUGCAACUCGACUACAUGAAGCUGGAAUCGCUAGUAAUCGUAGAUCAGCAUGCUACGGUGAAUACGUUCCCGGGUCUUGUACACACCGCCCGU
rnacentral:rRNA from 1 species